CGAUCAGUAGCUGAUGUGAGAGCAUGAUCAGCCACACGGGCACUGAGACACGGGCCCGACUCCUACGGGAGGCAGCAGUAAGGAAUAUUGGACAAUGGGCGCAAGCCUGAUCCAGCCAUGCCGCGUGAAGGAUUAAGGUCCUCUGGAUUGUAAACUUCUUUUAUAAGGGACGAAAAAAGGGAAUUCUUUCUCACUUGACGGUACCUUAUGAAUAAGCACCGGCUAACUCCGUGCCAGCAGCCGCGGUAAUACGGAGGGUGCAAGCGUUAUCCGGAUUCACUGGGUUUAAAGGGUGCGUAGGCGGGUAUUUAAGUCAGUGGUGAAAUCCUAGAGCUUAACUCUAGAACUGCCAUUGAUACUAUUUAUCUUGAAUAUUGUGGAGGUAAGCGGAAUAUGUCAUGUAGCGGUGAAAUGCUUAGAUAUGACAUAGAACACCUAUUGCGAAGGCAGCUUACUACGCAUAUAUUGACGCUGAGGCACGAAAGCGUGGGGAUCAAACA
rnacentral:rRNA from 1 species